GUGGAGUAACGAUAUUUUUUUUAUCUUGUUUCGCUUUUAAUGAGUUGAUGGAUGAAUGUUUCAAUGUUCAACUCCAUGAUCUAAAAUAAUUGUUUUAAAGCGAUGCGGCCUUUAAAAGCCAACUGUUUCUGACGAAAAACGCACUGAAUUGCUACAACUGCGGUUUACGUCAAUUAAGGUCCCACUAAGGCACUCAGCUGCUAUGCCUGUGAUAGUGUGAAGAAUGGUGGAUGUUCCGACCCGUUUGACACAUUCAAAGUAGAAGAUCAUUGUAUCCAAUGCUCGAAAUACGAAGCCAAACAAGGCUCACUCAAUGUUUUGAUAAGAGGUUGUGAAUCUGAAGCGCUUGACAACAACGGUUGUGCUUCAUGGAAACAGAAUGGUGCAAGCGGAGAGCUGAGUUUGUGUGACACCGACCGAUGCAACGCAGCAUCGGCACCCGUUGCCUACAUUCCGAUCCUGUUGGUCGCCUGUGCUCUAGCAGCAAAGACAACGUUUAUGUAUUAGAGAAUAGCAUUACAGGAUUCAAGGUUUUGAACAUUGGCUAUAAAAUCAAAGUGCUUCAACCUACAACUUUGAAACUUCAUAUGUAGCUGCACAUUGAUGAGUUCUAUACGCCUCAUCCAUAUUUGGGUCACUAGGUCAAAGGUCAAGGUCACUGUGACCUCUAAAAAAGUUCUGACAAGCUUUCAUUUAUUAAAAAAUGCACCCGCAGCCGAGCGUUGGCACCCGUUAUGCGAUGCUCUCGUUUUUAACAGUAUUCUAUUGCACUGAUAAAUGUCGAUAUUUAUUUUUUUAUAAAGAUUUUUUAUAUACGUGCAAUCUAUACAAGCAAUUUUACAGCAAAUCUCUGGUUGUAUCCGUUCUGUUUUCUAAGACAGUCAUAUAGAUUGACGCAUUUCUGUCGCAUUUUUUGUACGUGGUAUACACUUGGGGGUAACUGGUUAAAACAAGUUCUAAGGCAAGAACAGUGAGAGCUUUCUUGCGGUUUUGGACAAAGUGCGCACGCACCCACGACAGUUGUAAGCAUGCAGUAUUUAUAAUCAAUGAAAAAUGAUGAAUGUCAUACGAACGUUGUAAACAAGUAUUUAGGACUCGGCAAGAAUGCGACAUGAAAUGGCGACGUUGCGCAACGCCCUGGUUUCCUCACUAUGGCUUGAACGGGCAUACACGACGGCGAUGUUUUCUUAUUAUUACUUCCACGUCAAAUGUUGGCUUGUGAGCAUGUCAAUUACAAUACACAAGGUCUUAAUAUCAAAUAAAAAAAUGUGUUUCUUAUACAAAUUAACGUUGUGCGAUACGUUAAAUAACCCGUAACUUACAUGUCUAUUGCAACUACAAGUUCUCACGGAUAAAGCAGGCGAUACUAAUAUAUUUCGAUUUAUCAGCUUAUCUAGCUUGAUUAGAUAGAUAUUACUGCGUCAAUGACAUGCGUUACAUUAUCGGGACCGAUAAAUGAAUUAAUUGAUACCCUAAAAGUUCUAUUUAUAGUAACACAAUUCUUACUGAUAUGAUAUGAAGUAUUCGACCUUGUCUGGAUGUCAUCACACCACAUAUACACAAAUAGGUGCGUCUAAUAGGACGAAGAUGUUCACAUCAAUGUGCUUUUAAGAUUCGUUGAUCCUACUUUGUCGAACUUGAAGAAUGGACAUAUAGUUUUUAUUUAGCUAUGAAAAAAUGUAAAUUGUCUCAUUUUACUGACAGACAAGAUGACAUGACUUUUAAGCAGUGUAAGUUCUACGACCACACGUAAAAUAGAUGAUGCUACGUUACAACAGUUAUGUGUUUAUAUGAUGUUGGCCAUGUCUAUAUUAAAGUAUUCAAAUGAAGACUUUCAAACACCUUUACUAAUAAUUGUCAUAAACGUGUUAAUACAGACAUAAACUAUAAACCUUUUGAUUAAUAAAAAGUCAAAUAUUGACAUUUGCAGAAAUAGCAGAUUUGUAAUAGUUUGCUUUUCAAAUCUAUAUAACGUCUUUAUCGAUUGUGAAUAACACACAUUAUUUUAUUGAGCUUAAAAUGUAAAUAUAACAAUAACACCGUACGCAUCUAUUUAAUUGGUACAAUCUAGGAAUACCCAUUUUUUUCAAUCGUAUAUCUCCAAAAAUUACGAAACUAUCAAAACAUAUCUGUCUAUAUUUUUAAUCUUACGAAAGGUUUUGAGAAAAAACGAGUGAUAUUGUUGCACACAUUAUGCAAUGCCAUGGUCUAAACCGAUUAAUUUUUAUACAUGUAUUUUGUAUCUUGCGUAUUCAACCAGUGGGUAUUAUUUAUUAUUAAGAUUAUUGACUUGACUAUGCAUAGUUCUAUAUAAAACAAUAUUAUGGCUGAUGUUAUUUAUUAUUAAGCCGUUAACAUGCACGUC